rnacentral:rRNA from 1 species
AUGAACGCUAGCGGCAGGCCUAAUACAUGCAAGUCGAACGGGGUCCUUCGGGGCCCAGUGGCGCACGGGUGCGUAACGCGUAGCCAACCUGCCCCGCUCAGGGGGAUAGCCCGCCGAAAGGCGGAUUAAUCCCGCAUGCCCCGCGGGCCCGGCAUCGGGCCGGCGGGAAAGAACUUCGGAGCGGGAUGGGGCUGCGUGCCAUUAGCUGGUUGGCGGGGUAAGGGCCCACCAAGGCGACGAUGGCUAGGGGAGCUGAGAGGCCGGUCCCCCACACUGGCACUGAGACACGGGCCAGACUCCUACGGGAGGCAGCAGUAGGGAAUAUUGGGCAAUGGGCGCGAGCCUGACCCAGCCAUGCCGCGUGCCGGACGACGGCCUUCUGGGUUGUAAACGGCUUUUCCCGGGGAAGAAAAAGGCCCUGCGGGGCCCCCUGACGGUACCCGGGGAAGAAGCACCGGCUAACUCCGU